rnacentral:rRNA from 1 species
GACGAACGCUGGCGGCGUGCCUAAUACAUGCAAGUCGAACGCACAGUUUAUACCGUAGCUUGCUACACCAUAGACUGUGAGUUGCGAACGGGUGAGUAACGCGUAGGUAACCUGCCUGGUAGCGGGGGAUAACUAUUGGAAACGAUAGCUAAUACCGCAUAAUAUUGAUUAUUGCAUGAUAAUUAAUUGAAAGGUGCAAUUGCACCACUACCAGAUGGACCUGCGUUGUAUUAGCUAGUAGGUGAGGUAACGGCUCACCUAGGCGACGAUACAUAGCCGACCUGAGAGGGUGAUCGGCCACACUGGGACUGAGACACGGCCCAGACUCCUACGGGAGGCAGCAGUAGGGAAUCUUCGGCAAUGGACGAAAGUCUGACCGAGCAACGCCGCGUGAGUGAAGAAGGUUUUCGGAUCGUAAAGCUCGGUUGUAAGAGAAGAACGGGUGUGAGAGUGGAAAGUUCACACUGUGACGGUAGCUUACCAGAAAGGGACGGCUAACUACGUG